UAUUGAUAAUGAAAUUCGGCAUGGGGUCGUAAGGCCAAAACAUCCUCAGCGACGCUUUUGCUGUAUAGUGUCUUUCCGACCUUCCAGAAGCGCGCUUCAGUGUGGCACUGAACGUAACUGUUUGAGAAGAUCUUUAAUUGUGAUAUAUCGACAUGAAGGAAUCCAA